GACGAACGCUGGCGGCGUGCUUAACACAUGCAAGUCGAACGGUGUGGCGAACGGGUGGGUAACACGUGGGUGAUCUGCCUUGCACUUCGGCAUAGGCUUGGGAAACUGGGUCUAAUCCCGGCUUGUGCACGAUGAUCUCGGGGCCUAUCAGCUUGUUGGUGGGGUAAUGGCCUACCAAGGCGUCGACGGGUAGCUGGCCUGAGAGGGUGUACGGCCACAAUGGGCCUGAGCUACGGCCCAGACUACUACGGGAGGCAGCAGUGGGGAAUAUUGCACAAUGGGCGGAAGCCUGAUGCAGCGACGCCGCGUGGGGGAUGAAGGCCUUCGGGUUGUAAGCUCCUUUCGACAGGGACGCGGUACCUGUAUAAGAAGCACCGGCUAACUACGUGCCAGCAGCCGCGGUAAUUC
rnacentral:rRNA from 1 species